rnacentral:lncRNA from 1 species
GAUAAACUACGCCGACUCUGAUGAUUGUCCGUGAAGGAGGAGCCUUUACCGCUGUCGCGCUACAUCGACUCUGAUAAAGACUCGCGUGUGUUCUCGCUAGAAAAACGAUGUAAUAGGCUUGUUGACCAAGAGUUGUAAAGUAAAUGUGUUGUAAUCUUGUUUCUCACGAUGUAUGACUACGAUAACAGCUGAUAUAUGAUAAUGCGAUGGUUCAAUUUUUGAAUUAUCACAUUAUAAUUCGAAUCUGUGGAUUUUU